CUUUCUAAUAUUGAUCUUAAAGUAGAUAGUUAUGAAUAUGCAUGUAUAUCAAAUUAAAUGUUAAUGAUGUAAUUAACUUAUUGUUCGGUGACCUUGUUGAAAAGAGUUUCCUCCUUUUAAUUACAUAUUUACUUAGUCUAAUUUUAUUAUGUUAUUAAAGUAUGCAAUCCUUGAUGUGCUAAUUUGGGACUAGGGUUCAGGUAAAAUGUAUGUAAUAACACGUUGUAAUAAAAAUGUAUGCUACUACCCUACUUUAGACGCGCUUCGCACGUUCUUGUCAUGAAUAAUUCUCAAAUUUUACUUUUUCAGGUUAGGAAUUAAAAAAUGUAAAUGUUGCGUAUCUUGUAGAUCUUGCGCGAAAAUGAACAGCAAAUUGCAGUGCAGUAUAUUCAGUUACAAUCUGACAUUCUAAGGUUAUGUUGAGCCUGGAUCAAAUGCAUCAGCGGGCAGGCGCGUCGCCCACCCUUGACAUUUCUACUCGAAUUAAUAUUGUCUUAAACACAAAUAAUUACAUUAUUACAUGUUACACGAAAAAAAAAUCAAAAAAUUAGGUUUCAAGAACUCGGUUUAAAGUAGUUAUACACAAAUUUUCAGCUCCCUAAACAGCCACUAUAAAAAUUCGUCUACAGCUUUAACAAAGCAUGAAAUUUAUAAAAUUGCCCCAGGGCAAGCGUCCUGGUGUCAAAAUCACCCUUUUAACAUGUACUUUUUGAUCUCACAGGCCUGAAAUAUUAAUUUUUAGACACACUGGCGUAGUCAUACUUUUCCUGACUUAAAAGUUACAGAAAGUGUUAGAGAAUUUUUGAUUCACUGACCUUGAACGCAUAACCGCUGCUUACAGAAAAGUCAGACGGUCCAAAUGCUGGUUUUGGCGAGGCAGACAUAUAUGUUACCGGCGGUUUUGUUUACUCAAAAGUUAUAAAAGAGUUAUAGUACGCCCCGCGUUGUUCUUUUGUUUAGGAUAAAUUAUGUAAAUAUUAGGCACUUACAAAUUUACAAAUUUUUAUACAUACAUUUUACCAUAAUCUCAGUCCCAAGUAAGUACAUGGAUAAUGACAUAUUUUAAUUACAUCAUAAAAUAAAACGCAAAAAAUACAUAAUAAAAACAUGUGUUCUAUUCAAGGGGGGACAAUCAUAAGUAAAUUUGAAUUUUUGAUUUCUAAGUUGUUUGAAUUUUUCAAAUGUAUAAAAUUCAUAUAAUAAAGGCCUAAAUAGCUGUUACCAUCUGGAUAAUAACAUAAAAACUGUUUAUAAACUCGAAAAUUAUUUUCCAACAUUAAAAAAUGUUUUUUUAAUCAAAUUAUUAAAUUUUUUUUUUAUUUUUAGGUAUAAUUAAAUUACUACUCUUAGUAACAAUAGUAGAACUUUAUAAUUGAAUUUUGAGAAUACCAUAAUGGGGUCUAAAUGCUUCAUAAUUAAAUAGUUGCUCUAGGUUUAAGGGAAGUACCCUUGGUUCAUAGCUAGACAAAAUGAGUGGAUUAUAUAUUUUUCGUUUAUUUGUGAUAUAUAGUUAGUUAAAAUUACUGUAUAGAUCAACUUAAACCAAAUAACAUUCAUACGUUAAUAUUAAAUUAAUUCUAAUUGUUCUAAUUCUCAAUAACAAGUUUUAUAAAGAAGCUGAUUUGAUUCACUUUUUGAGGUUAAACGUACACUUACGACAGAAAAUAUUUUAUUUCUAGUCUUACAGGUUCUGAAUUUUGAAAGAAGCUAGAGAUUAGAAAUAAAAUUUGACAUCUUUAAGAACUUUUUCAAACAUUUUUUUCAUUUUUUGACGUUUUUUUGUACUAAAAAACGUGCGUUUCCCGAUAAUUCUACAUAGUCAAUUUCAAGUGAUUCUCACUUUUAAAUUUGUUAUGAAGGGUACGUCCUUAAGGGGAUAUGUGGAAUAAAAAACCAAGACCAUAGCGCAAUAGUGUUUUAUUGAAAGAAUCAUUUUAUUGUAAUAAAUUGUCUGUUGGAUUCUAUACUUUUUCAUCAAGUUUUGAAAUACAAAUGGGUAUUUAUGCGAUCUGAGCGCUAACCUUAAAGUGGAACCUAAAUUUUACCAAUAAAUUAUUCAUCAUUUGAAUUCCCAUCAACAUAAAUAACACUGUGUCAUUCUUUGAAGUUUAAUGGAUCAUUUUACCAAAAGUAAAAGUUAAUUAGACUUAGUUUUUGAAGUGAAUACUUUUAUAGGCCCGGGUCGGGUACACAUUUUGCUGGAGAGUGAAUCGGCGAGAGGCGAGCGUCACGGCGGCGCGACAGAUAAUCGUCACGAAAGCAGCGGUAGCUCUCUCUCCUCCACCGCUCUCUUCCCUGUGCGCAAGGCGUACUCGCACCCUUCACCGCAGCUCCGGGACCUGGGCGAACGAUUUGCAUAUUUUUGAAUAAAAAAUUCCAUUAAUUGCGGAAUCGUUAACAAUGUUAACAAUCUCACUCCAAAAAAUUGCGGGUGCUUUUGUUUUUUAAUGAAAAAUCAAAAACUAUUUCAGCUGCGAGAAACCAUAAUAUAUGGUAUUCUUAGAACAGGCACUCAUAUUUCAAGGAUGAAAUCAAUGCGAAUCGUUUUCAAUUUAAUUGCGGAUUACAAAUAUAAACUUUUUAUUUCAUAAUUCGCGAUAAUUAUUUAGUUAUAAAUUAAUUUUAAUGUUGGGUUAUUCGCCGAGCCAGUCCACCGCUCCGCGUCCUUCUUCGCACGUCCAACGCGCAGGUAGGUAUAUCUUGCGCCGUCACGAGGACAGAAUCAGCUGCUUCUGCUUGCGAAACUUAACCUCUCUAACGUCGAAGUAUUCACUUUUUAUUUAUCAAUUUCUUGCUCUUUGAUAUUUAACCAAGACGUCGUCCCGGUAGCGGCAGUUUACGUGUCGGGAAGAACGUCAUGUUCGCAGCGGAGUAGUAGCCUCUCAGCGUUGACGCCGAGGUUCGGCUGGCGGACGCGUCGACGAAAUCAGUCGCGACGGGUCACUACUAUUACCUCGUCGCCGAUCAUGUUUUUCCCUCGAGUACGUCGUCGAGCGCGCGAUCGCAUUCGAAGCCGAAUCACAGAACGCCGUCCGUCAGCCAUACGCAUAAUAUGAGUGCACAAUUGCAUGCACACAUGUAUGUGUAUACCAAUACGCGCGCAGUAAACUCCCGACAAAACGGCAACUCUUCUAUAUACUUACUUAGUCGAUAUACGAUAUGAGGUAAGAGUAUGAUGCUACAUGGAAUUCAGCAAAAACUAAGAAAUCCUCCAAAAGAUGUGUGGUAAAACUUUGUUGCAAUCAAUGGACUUGUAGAGUUCUUGGGGAUCCGUUAAAGCCGUCAAAAAGCCUUAAUUCUAACAUAAAGUUAAACAGAAAAUGAAGACGCGAUUCUAGUAACAAAAGAAUAGAUUGUCUCGAACCACCCAGACAUUGUUAUGGGCCUUCAUGUACAUCAAAACAAUCCAGGCCUGCAGCAACUUUAAAAGUAGGCGAUACUUCAAUACCCUGGUAGCAAGUAUUGCUCUGAAGCUUGUGGAAUCAAAUUAGCUACUAGUAGAAUAUUUCAAGUGCUUUCUCAAAGACUCCAAGAGUGGACUCGAACACCUUGUAUAGCUGAACAAAACAAUAGGAUGGCAUUAUAAACUGUUCGAAGGCAAAUAUAUGAGGCACAGAGGUAUCUUAAUAAAUUAGAUAAGAGACAUGCAGAAUUAUACAAAAAUGUAGAACGCGCUAUGAUAGAUCCCAAAGCUAAAACUGAUGAUGAUGGUGAUACCGAGAUGAGCAUGUAGUCAUGAAAUACAUUCAAGAACAGCUAUAAAAUACAUGGAAAAAUGUUUCAAUGAGUAUGAAUCUCAAGCGUCAUUUUGAUAAAUUUUUAAAACAAGAAUUGAAGAAUAAGUUAUGUUUUGUGAUUCUUACGGUAGUAAAUCACACCUAUUGCAAAAGAUUAAAAUAGUGCUUUGUCAAGAGCAUUAUAAAUAUCCAAAAAUUAGUGACACAGAAUGGUGUGUGAUGUUAUUGGUAAAAUGAAGGGCACGUUUACAGAAAGUCCAAAGAAACCAAAGAUAGGUGUACCAUCAGCUGACGAAGAAGCAAAGGAACAAGUAAAGCAAUAGUGUCUUGCGACAAAUCCAACAUAGAUGAUACCAGUGACUGCUCAAAUUUAGAAAGUAAUGAAGAUCCAUACACCAUAGAAUCUAAUAGCUCAACACUGCAAGCAUCCGAUGCAACAAGACCAACAAGAUUGCAUAUAAAAUUAAAGAAGGCGUAUAGCAGUGACAAAAAUUCAACUCAGCAAAAGAAUCAAAUACUAGAUAGAGUAUAUACUCGUUCUAGAAAGAAGGACUUAUCAGUUGACGAUAUCAUAGUAGGCAAAGAAUCUGAGAAUUCUAUUGUUGCAAAUGAGAACAGCAAAUGUCUUAAAGAUAGAUUAAGAAAAAAGUCAAGCACUUAUAAUUCUCAGGAAACCAAGCGAGAUAAUAACUUGAGAAUCAGACUAUACUUAAGUUAUAGUUGUUAUGUUAUGUUCUCUACAAAUGCGAAUAAACUAUUCUAAAACAGACAGUGAUGUCAUUGGUAAAAUGAAGGCCACGUUUACAGAAAGGCCAAAGAAGCCAAAAAUAGCUGUACCAGCAGCUGACGAAGAAGCAAAGGAACAAGUAAAGCAACAGCAAAUGGGUUAUGCGCCUGGUGCUGCUCAACACCCUGACUCACACAUGACUAAUGCAGCUGUUCCAAAGCAAUCUCCAAAUCAAAUUCUUUUCUUUAUAAAUUUAGCAGAUGAAACCAGCGAAAUGAUAUUGUCUAUGUUGUUGUCUACGACAUUGCCCUUGUAGAAUUUGAUUUGACAGAAUUGUAAUGAUAAUUAUCUAUACUUUGAAGAAAUAUCGUAUUUUGAGGGCAAACCAAUUCUUGAAGCAUUUAGUAUUUAAUAUUGGUGCCGUGAUUUCAUCAUGUACAAAUUUCUAAAAGUAAUUACCUGCUGCAAUAAUACAAAUAAAUUUAAUGGUACUUUGACUAUGCUGAUCAACCUGAUUUCUACAGUUGACGUGAAUAUCAUUCAACUUUGCACUUAUGCUAUCAAUUGGAUUUGAUCUAGAACUAUUUUGUGAUUGAUUUGGAUUAUUAAACUGAGUUGGUUUCAAUCGAUCUUGAAUAGAAGACAUUCUUGGCCUAUCUUGAGAAUUUUCAUAGAUUUGAAAUAGAUAUGGAAGAGUGCGUCAAUGGUUAAAACUUGUUAAAUAAGAAAAACAAAUUUGAUCAAUUAUGGCAUCUAGAGCAGGUGUGCUUGCUCGCUUGCUCUUUUACUGUAUUCUAUUUAAAUUUCACAAAGUUUAGAUAAAUACAAUUUUGUAAUGUUUAGAAAUAUCAGGAAAUAAAUUGAAAUGCAAAAUAUAAGUACAAAAUUUUUAA